rnacentral:rRNA from 1 species
GACGAACGCUGGCGGCGUGCUUAACACAUGCAAGUCGAACGGAAAGGCCCUGCUUUUGUGGGGUGCUCGAGUGGCGAACGGGUGAGUAACACGUGAGUAACCUGCCCUUGACUUUGGGAUAACUUCAGGAAACUGGGGCUAAUACCGGAUAGGAGCUCCUGCUGCAUGGUGGGGGUUGGAAAGUUUCGGCGGUUGGGGAUGGACUCGCGGCUUAUCAGCUUGUUGGUGGGGUAGUGGCUUACCAAGGCUUUGACGGGUAGCCGGCCUGAGAGGGUGACCGGCCACAUUGGGACUGAGAUACGGCCCAGACGCCUACGGGAGGCAGCAGUGGGGAAUAUUGCACAAUGGGCGGAAGCCUGAUGCAGCAACGCCGCGUGCGGGAUGACGGCCUUCGGGUUGUAAACCGCUUUCGCCUGUGACGAAGCGUGAGUGACGGUAAUGGGUAAAGAAACACCGGCUAACUACGU